rnacentral:rRNA from 1 species
AUGAGUGUCUUAUCAUGGAACUGCCGAGGGCUUGGGAACCCUUGGACAGUUCGAGAGCUUCGCAAAGUUGUGAAGCAAGAAGGCCCCGCCCUUGUGUUUGUCAUGGAAACAAAAAUCAAGGGCAAGUGUGUGGAGGAUCUAAAAUUCAGUUUAGGUUUUUCUGGUUAUUUUGCUGUCGAUAGUGACGGGCUUAGUGGAGGCAUUGGUUUUUUUUGGUCAAGAGAUACUGAUGUUUCGGUACAAAAGUACAGUCGAUCCCAUAUCGAUGUAAAAGUCAAUAAAGAUAAUAAAAGUUGGCGUUUUACGGGUUUUUACGAAGAAUCUCGGGUGGAAAAUAGACACCACAGUUGGCAGUUCUUGCGUACUUUAUUUGCUGUCCACCAUGAAGCAUGGAUUUGCAUGGGUGAUUUCAAUGAAACUCUUCAUGAGGACGAGCACUUUGGAGCCAAUGCUCGACCGGAGAGCCAAAUGCGUGCAUUCCGGGAAGCAGGGCAAACUGUGCACUCCAGGAUGUGGGGUGGCGUGGUGUCCCUUUUACAUGGGAUAACAGGCAACAAGGGGAGAUGA